UACGAAGGGGGCUAGCGUUGCUCGGAAUCACUGGGCGUAAAGCGCACGUAGGCGGCUUUUUAAGUCAGGGGUGAAAUCCUGGAGCUCAACUCCAGAACUGCCUUUGAUACUGAGGAUCUUGAGUUCGGGAGAGGUGAGUGGAACUGCGAGUGUAGAGGUGAAAUUCGUAGAUAUUCGCAAGAACACCAGUGGCGAAGGCGGCUCACUGGCCCGAUACUGACGCUGAGGCACGGAAAGCGUGGGGAAGCAAACAGGGAGUAAGAAACCCUUAAGGAACCGUUGA
rnacentral:rRNA from 1 species